AUUGAACGCUGGCGGCAUGCCUUACACAUGCAAGUCGAACGGCAGCGCGGGGCAACCUGGCGGCGAGUGGCGAACGGGUGAGUAAUAUAUCGGAACAUACCCUAGAGUGGGGGAUAACGUAGCGAAAGUUACGCUAAUACCGCAUACGCACUAAGGUGGAAAGUGGGGGAUUCGCAAGAACCUCAUGCUCAUGGAGUGGCCGAUAUCUGAUUAGCUAGUUGGUGAGGUAAAGGCUCACCAAGGCGACGAUCAGUAGCUGGUUUGAGAGAACGACCAGCCACACUGGAACUGAGACACGGUCCAGACUCCUACGGAGGCAGCAGUGGGGAAUUUUUGGACAAUGGGGGCAACCCUGAUCCAGCAAUGCCGCGUGAGUGAAGAAGGCCUUCGGUUGUAAAGUUCUGUCGGCUGGACGAAAAAAUAGACGGUACCAGCAAAGGAAGCAUCGGCUAACUACGUGCCAGCAGCCGCGGUAA
rnacentral:rRNA from 1 species